UGCUACAGGCUUAACACAUGCAAGUCGAGGGGCAGCAUGGUCUUAGCUUGCUAAGGCCGAUGGCGACCGGCGCACGGGUGAGUAACACGUAUCCAACCUGCCGUCUACUCUUGGACAGCCUUCUGAAAGGAAGAUUAAUACAAGAUGGCAUCAUGAGUCCGCAUGUUCACAUGAUUAAAGGUAUUCCGGUAGACGAUGGGGAUGCGUUCCAUUAGAUAGUAGGCGGGAUAACGGCCCACCUAGUCUUCGAUGGAUAGGGGUUCUGAGAGGAAGGUCCCCCACAUUGGAACUGAGACACGGUCCAAACUCCUACGGGAGGCAGCAGUGAGGAAUAUUGGUCAAUGGGCGAGAGCCUGAACCAGCCAAGUAGCGUGAAGGAUGACUGCCCUAUGGGUUGUAAACUUCUUUUAUAAAGGAAUAAAGUCGGGUAUGGAUACCCGUUUGCAUGUACUUUAUGAAUAAGGAUCGGCUAACUCCGUGCCAGCAGCCGCGGUAAUACGGAGGAUCCGAGCGUUAUCCGGAUUUAUUGGGUUUAAAGGGAGCGUAGAUGGAUGUUUAAGUCAGUUGUGAAAGUUUGCGGCUCAACCGUAAAAUUGCAGUUGAUACUGGAUAUCUUGAGUGCAGUUGAGGCAGGCGGAAUUCGUGGUGUAGCGGUGAAAUGCUUAGAUAUCACGAAGAACUCCGAUUGCGAAGGCAGCCUGCUAAGCUGCAACUGACAUUGAGGCUCGAAAGUGUGGGUAUCAAACAGGAUUAGAUACCCUGGUAGUCCACACGGUAAACGAUGAAUACUCGCUGUUUGCGAUAUACGGCAAGCGGCCAAGCGAAAGCGUUAAGUAUUCCACCUGGGGAGUACGCCGGCAACGGUGAAACUCAAAGGAAUUGACGGGGGCCCGCACAAGCGGAGGAACAUGUGGUUUAAUUCGAUGAUACGCGAGGAACCUUACCCGGGCUUAAAUUGCAGAUGAAUUACGGUGAAAGCCGUAAGCCGCAAGGCAUCUGUGAAGGUGCUGCAUGGUUGUCGUCAGCUCGUGCCGUGAGGUGUCGGCUUAAGUGCCAUAACGAGCGCAACCCUUGUUGUCAGUUACUAACAGGUUCCGCUGAGGACUCUGACAAGACUGCCAUCGUAAGAUGUGAGGAAGGUGGGGAUGACGUCAAAUCAGCACGGCCCUUACGUCCGGGGCUACACACGUGUUACAAUGGGGGGUACAGAGGGCCGCUACCACGCGAGUGGAUGCCAAUCCCCAAAACCUCUCUCAGUUCGGACUGGAGUCUGCAACCCGACUCCACGAAGCUGGAUUCGCUAGUAAUCGCGCAUCAGCCACGGCGCGGUGAAUACGUUCCCGGGCCUUGUACACACCGCCCGUCAAGCCAUGGGAGCCGGGGGUACCUGAAGUGCGUAACCGCGAGGAGCGCCCUAGGGUAAAACUGGUGACUGGGGCUA
rnacentral:rRNA from 1 species